UGGGGGAAUAUUGCACAAUGGGGGGAAACCCUGAUGCAGCGACGCCGCGUGAACGAAGAAGUAUUUCGGUAUGUAAAGUUCUAUCAGCAGGGAAGAUAAUGACGGUACCUGACUAAGAAGCACCGGCUAAAUACGUGCCAGCAGCCGCGGUAAUACGUAUGGUGCAAGCGUUAUCCGGAUUUACUGGGUGUAAAGGGAGCGCAGGCGGUGCGGCAAGUCAGAUGUGAAAUCCGCGGGCUUAACCCGCGAACUGCAUUUGAAACUGAGGGUCUUGAGUAUCGGAGAGGUAAUCGGAAUUCCUAGUGUAGCGGUGAAAUGCGUAGAUAUUAGGAAGAACACCAGUGGCGAAGGCGGAUUACUGGACGACAACUGACGGUGAGGCGCGAAAGCGUGGGGAGCAAACAGGAUUAGAUACCCUGGUAGU
rnacentral:rRNA from 1 species